CUAGAAAGAAGUAGUAGUGCGCGCGUGUUUAAGUUAUAAAAGGAUCUGUUCAAUGUUAGUCGUUAAAAUACUUAUUGUUAUAAAUUAAAUAGUACGGAUUUGUGUUAGUAAAAAUCGAUUAGUGUGGUUAGUAGUGUUAAUGGGUCAAACUUAGCCUAAAUUAAUGUAAUGCUUUAAAAUUAUAGUAAAAUCCCAUUCGAAUCCACACGAACAAAUAACGACAGUGAAAAACGAAUUAAAAACGAAAUAGAAAAAGGUCCACGACAAAGGGACCUUUUUCUUUUGUGCUUUUUCCAAGUUCUCGACAGUGCAGUGCAUCGGUGGAAACUUCCGUGGGCGAAGAGCUAGUUCCGGUUCCUUCGGCCGUAUAGAUCCUGACGAUUUGGAUGCCGGAGACUUUCGGUCCAAAUCCGUGCCGCCAUUGCUUUUGAGCACGCAGGAUUGCCGCUUGUUAAACGUAGGCCGCCAUCUUCCAGCCACAUUCCUGUGCCGCACUCGUCCCGACCGUGGAUUGACGUCCGGACUGUAAAGACCCUGCGACCAACGCCAAGCCGGCCAGAUCGGCCACUUCCACACCGAAUCCAACACCAAAGCGCAAGUACCCCCAAAUGUGACGUCACAAAUAAAAUUGUAGAAUUGUUAACCUCAGGUGUAGCUAACUUUAAGAAAGAGCAGCCCUGAAUUAUAAAGGUCUUUCACCAUUUUCGUUGCGUCGUCCUCCCGGGUCCACAAAGGGACCACCAAUCCUCGUCCUUCUUGGAUCACUGUGUGUAUUGAUACCCUCCCCCCCCCUUUCUACAUCAAAUAGCUUUGCCCAUCCUACAUCAUUAUCGCCUUUUAUG